GCCGACUGUGAUGUGUUAAUGUCGGUUGCUAUUCGGGUAAUGUCUUGCAUGUAUGACCAGUUCUACACAGUAAUAUGUGCUUAUUUAACUCAUACCUUCUGUGCUGGGGACUUUACUGCUCAAUGCAGGGGCUGUGCUGAAUUUCAGGCUUAAAAGGAAGGAGUCACAGGGGUUUGGAGAUGAGUCCAGAGCACCAACAACAGUCUGCGCAGGUUGUUUGGAUCAUGAUCAGCGUUUGCAGUGACUGGACUUCCACCAGGAUGCUCACUUU